CGAUCAACUGAAGGAGACCUUAACCUGCUAAAUAGUUAGGCCAACGUUUCGUUGGUCGUCAACUUCUUAGAGGGACUAUUGACUAUUAGUCAAUGGAAGUUUGAGGCAAUAACAGGUCUGUGAUGCCCUUAGAUGUUCUGGGCCGCACGCGCGCUACACUGAUCAAGUCAACGAGUUUACAACCUUGGCCGGAAGGUCUGGGUAAUCUUUUGAAACUUGAUCGUGCUGGGGAUAGUCCAUUGCAAUUAUUGGACUUCAACGAGGAAUUCCUAGUAAGCGUGAGUCAUCAGCUCGCGUUGAUUACGUCCCUGCCCUUUGUACACACCGCCCGUCGCUACUACCGAUUGAAUGGCU
rnacentral:rRNA from 1 species